CUCGAUGCAUUGCGUCGAGGUAGUGAGCUUGUUCGAUACUUACCAUAACGACUCCCGGCAACGGAUAUCUCGGCUCUCGCAUCGAUGAAGAACGUAGCGAAAUGCGAUACAUGGUGUGAAUUGCAGGAUCCCGUGAACCAUCGAGUUUUUGAACGCAAGUUGCGCCCGAAGCCGUUAGGCCGAGGGCACGCCUGCCUGGGCGUCACGCA
rnacentral:rRNA from 1 species